rnacentral:precursor_RNA from 1 species
UGGGCAAUGCACAGCUCCAAUGGAUUCCAGUUAUGUCCCCUUGGAAUUUUGCAGUGUCCACC